rnacentral:rRNA from 1 species
UUGGAGGACUCUAGGCGGAACUGCCGGGUGAACGUAACCGGAGGAAGUGGGGAUGACGUCAAGUCAUCAUGGCCCCUUAUGUCCAGGGCUACACACGUGCUACAAUGGGCGGUACAAAGGGUCGCGAACCCGCGAGGGGGAGCCAAUCCCAAAAAGCCGCUCUCAGUUCGGAUUGCAGGCUGCAACUCGCCUGCAUGAAGCCGGAAUCGCUAGUAAUCGCGGAUCAGCAUGCCGCGGUGAAUACGUUCCCGGGCCUU